AAGAGGGAACCCGGUGGGAAUCCGGGACUGCCCCGCAGCGGUGAGUGGGAACGAAAGCCGUCAUGAGCACUGGAGUCAUCCGGGAAGCGACGGCCGGUAGGCAGGUGGCGACGCGAGUCGCCGCCGGUGCCCGCGAGUCCGAAGACCU
rnacentral:ncRNA from 2 species